AGAUUCGACUAGGGGAGCAUGGUGAUGCUGAGAGAGUAAUUCGACCCUUUGAACCUGAUCUAGUUAAGACUAGCGUAGGGAAGUGGAAUUGGUAGAUG
rfam:Gracilibacillus kekensis strain CGMCC 1.10681 genome assembly, contig: Ga0079828_105